rnacentral:rRNA from 1 species
UACAGAGGGUGCAAGCGUUGUUCGGAAUUACUGGGCGUAAAGCGCGCGCAGGCGGUCCUUUAAGUCAGGGGUGAAAGCCCAGAGCUCAACUCUGGAACUGCCUUUGAAACUAGAGGACUUGGGUACGGGAGAGGUGAGUGGAAUUCCGAGUGUAGAGGUGAAAUUCGUAGAUAUUCGGAAGAACACCAGUGGCGAAGGCGGCUCACUGGCCCGUUACUGACGCUCAGGCGCGACAGCGUGGGGGAGCAAACAGGG